GUAUGGGGUUGCCGGAGCUAUGCGAGGAAGUGUUCGAUACCGUCGACCUUUACCGGGUGCUAGGCGUGCGGCGCGAGGCGUCCGACGGCGAGGUCCGACGGGACUACCACAAAGUGUCCUUGCAGGUGCACCCUGACCGGGUGGGCGAGGGCAACAAGGAGGACGCCACCUGCCGCUUCCAGAUCCUGGGGAAAGUCUAUUCCGUUUUAAGUGACAAAGAACAGAGAGCAGUGUACGAUGAACAGGGAACAGUGGACGAGGAAUCUGCUAUGCUUACUCAAGACCGGGAUUGGGAGGCAUACUGGAGAUUACUCUUUAAAAAGAUAUCUCUAGAGGACAUUCAAGCCUUUGAAAAGACAUACAAAGGUUCUGAAGAAGAGCUGGCUGAUAUUAAACAGGCACAUCUGGAUUUCAAGGGUGACAUGGAUCAGAUCAUGGAGUCUGUGCUUUGCGUGCAGUACACAGAGGAACCCAGGAUAAGGAAUAUUAUUCAGCAAGCUAUUGACACCGGAGAGGUCCCAUCCUAUAAUGCCUUUGUCAGAGAAUCGAAACAAAAGAUAAAUGCAAGGAAAAGGAGGGCUCAGAAAGAGGCCAGAGAAGCAGAAAUGAGCAGGAAGGAGUUGGGGCUUGACGAAGGAGUAGAUAACUUGAAAGCAGUCAUUCAGAACAGACAAAAGGAUCGGCAAAAGGAAAUGGACAAUUUUCUGGCUCAGAUGGAAGCAAAGUACUGCAAACCUUCCAAAGGAGGAGGGAAAAAAACAGCUCUCAAGAAAGAAAAGAAAUAAUGGAAUUUUUCUCUUCAAAGGACCUUAAGUGUUAAUUGGUGCCAUUGUAGGCAAGGUGUGGGCAAAAGUCAACCCAACCCUUAGAGGAGUUGUCUUUCCAGCCUAAAUUAUUCAGAUUGACUA